CCUACGGGAGGCAGCAGUGGGGAAUAUUGCACAAUGGGGGAAACCCUGAUGCAGCGACGCCGCGUGAGUGAAGAAGUAUCUCGGUACGUAAAACUCUAUCAGCAGGGGAGAAAAUGACUGUACCUGACUAAGAAGCCACGGCUAACUACGUUCCAGCAGCCGCGGUAAUACGUAGGGGGCAAGCGUUAUCCGGAUUUACUGGGUGUAAAGGGAGCGUAGACGGCGCUGCAAGUCCGUAGUGAAAGCGCAUGGCUUAACCAUGGUACUGCUCUGGAAACUGUAGGACUUGAGUGCGUGAGGGGCAGGCGGAAUUCCUAGUGUAGCGGUGAAAUGCGUAGAUAUUAGGAGGAACACCGGCGGCGAAGGCGGCCUGCUGGACCGUAACUGACGCUGAGGCUCGAAAGCGUGGGGAGCAAACAGGAUUAGAUACCCGGGUAGUC
rnacentral:rRNA from 1 species